CCUACGGGUGGCAGCAGUGGGGAAUAUUGCACAAUGGGCGCAAGCCUGAUGCAGCCAUGCCGCGUGUGUGAAGAAGGCCUUCGGGUUGUAAAGCACUUUCAGCGGGGAGGAAGGCGGUGAGGUUAAUAACCUCAUCGAUUGACGUUACCCGCAGAAGAAGCACCGGCUAACUCCGUGCCAGCAGCCGCGGUAAUACGGAGGGUGCAAGCGUUAAUCGGAAUUACUGGGCGUAAAGCGCACGCAGGCGGUCUGUCAAGUCGGAUGUGAAAUCCCCGGGCUCAACCUGGGAACUGCAUUCGAAACUGGCAGGCUAGAGUCUUGUAGAGGGGGGUAGAAUUCCAGGUGUAGCGGUGAAAUGCGUAGAGAUCUGGAGGAAUACCGGUGGCGAAGGCGGCCCCCUGGACAAAGACUGACGCUCAGGUGCGAAGGCGUGGGGAGCAAACAGGAUUAGAUACCCGGGUAGUC
rnacentral:rRNA from 1 species